rnacentral:lncRNA from 13 species
UACUGAUUAAAGAAACAGCUAGGUUAUGUUAAUAAUAUAUAUACACGAAAUAGCAGGUGUGUGAGUGUAGGACUGUUAAAUAGAAAAAGACUGAAUUAUAACCUUAGGCCACUGACUAAAUAAAAGUAUGUUUUUGACUAUAGAAAUUGUAGAUUUUUUUUUUAUUGUUGCCUGACCAGUUUUCAAUACAAUAAGGUCAGUAAGUGGGGAAAACAAAAUUGUUAUUAUACUCGCAAACCGAUUCACCUGCCCAUAUUUCGUUACUCCCUUUUUCAUAUUAUCUUUUGUCCCUCACAUAUUUUUUUGUCAUAACACCUAACCAGUUUUCUUUCACCUGACCAGUUUUCAAUACCACGUCAGUAUCUUCGGAAAAAAACAAAAACAGUAUUAUCCACAAGACCUUUCACAUGCAUUCACCCGCCCAUCCAUUGUCCCUCCCUUUUUUCAUAAUCUUUAUCUUAUAUUUUGUGCCUCCCAAAAUAUUUACAUCACUUGAAAGGUGAAGAAUUUGUGGCAUCAACAGCCCUAGAGGAAUAUAAAUAUAAACUAGAAAUACAUUGGCAUGACAGUAUACAAAUGAACAGUUCAAUUGUAAGAUUGAAAUGGCAAACACAACUACAAGGAUAAUAACAUUUUAGAGUGGAUAGAAGCUAGAUAUUGUGAUUAUUUAUUGUCAUUGACCAAUUCCUUCCUCCAUUGAUAUUUGGAGAAAUUACAGAAAUAAGGAGACUGGCAGUAAAGUGUUUUCUGUAGAAAACAACUGCAUCAACUGGGUUCAAAAUGAAGGCACAGAAAGUGACAGCUACUUUCACCAUGGUGUUCUUAUGUUGGAUUAUACAUGGAGUUUCUUCGACAACCGCAUCUUCCACAACUGCAUCUCCUGCAACUGCAGAUCUUAUUACGACAAAAACAACUGCAGCUCCUACGGCAACAACUGUUGCUCCAUCGACAACUGUAGCUCCAACGACAACUGCAGCUCCAACGACAACUACAACUGCAGUACCUAAUACAACAACCACAACUGCAGUUCCUAAUACAACUGUAGCUCCUAUGACCACUACAACAGCAGAAACUACAGCAACAACUGUAACUCCUACAGCAAUUAAUAUAGCUCCUACUACGACUACAACUAUAGACCCGACUACAACUGUAGCUCCUACGGACACUACAAAGGUAACACCUACAAUGACCACUGUAGCUCCCAGGCCACCUGCAGCUCCUACGACAACUGAAGCUCUGACGACAACAACUGCUGCUCCUACGACCACUACAACUCCAAAACCUACUACGACAGAACCUACUCCUACGACUGCUACGACUGCAGAACCUACCACGACAACCAGUGCAGCUCCUACUACAACAACUUCAGCUCCUACGACAACCACAAUGACAGCACCUACAACAACUGUAGCUCCCAUGACAACUGCAGCUCCUACGACAACUGAAGCUCUGACUACAACAACUGCUGCUCCUACGACCACUACAACUCCAGAACCUACUACGACAACCAGUACAGCUCCUACUACAACAACUGCAGCUCUUACGACAACAACGACUGCAACACCAUCUACAACAACUACAACUUCAGCUCCUACGACAACCACAACAACAGCACCUCCAACAACUGUAGCUCCCACGACAACUGCAGCUCCUACAACAGCUUUAGCAUCAACGACAACCACUGCAGCCCUAACAACAACAACUGCUGCUCCUACUAUCACUACAGCUCCAGAACCUAUUACGACAACCACUGCAGCUCCUGCUACAACAACUACAACUUCAGCUGCCACGACAACCACAACAACAGCACCUCCAACAACUGCUGCUCCUACGACCACUGUAACUCCACAACCUACAACGACAACCAGUGCUGCUCCGACUACAACAACUGCUGUUCUAACGACCACAGUGACUGCAGCACCUUCUACAACAACUACAACUUCAGCUCCUACGACAACCACAACAACAGCACCUACUACAACACCUGCAGUUCCUACAACCGUAGCUCCCACGACCACUCCACCUGCUGUACUUACUACAACAAUCACAACUACAGCUCCUGAUACAACAACUUUAACUUCUACGUCAACCACAGCAGCUGCCUCUACAACAACCACUGCAGCUCUAACUACAACAACUGCUGCUCCAACGACCACUACAACUCCAAAACCUAUUACGACAACCACUGCAGCUUCUGCUACAACAACUACAACUUCAGCUACUACGACAACCACAACAACAGCACCUCCAACAACUGUAGCUCCCACGACAACUACAGCUCCAACAACAGCUUUAGCAGCUAAGACAACCACUGCAACCCUAACUACAACAGCUGCUGCUCCUACGACCACGGAAAUUCCACAACCUACUACGACAACCAGUGCGGCUCCUACUACAACAACUGCUGUUCUAAUGACCACAGUGACUGCAGCACCUUCUACAAUAACUACAACUUCAGCUCCUACGACAACCACAACAACAGCACCUACUACAACACCUGCAGUUGUUACAACUGUAUCUCCCACGACCACAGCACCUGCAGUACUUACUACAACAAUCACAACUACAGCUCCUGAUACAACAACUGUAACUUCUACGUCAACCACAUCAGCUGCCUCUACGACAACCACAACACCUCUAACAACAACAAUUGCUGCUCCAACGACCGCUACAACUCUAGAACCUAUUACGACAACCACUGCAGCUCCUGCUACAAAAACUACAACUUCAGCUCCUACGACAACCACAACAACAGCACCUCCAACAACUGUUGCUCCCACGAUAACUGCAGCUCCUACAACAGCUUUAGCAUCUACUUCAACCACUGCAGCCCUAACUACAACAACUGCUGCUCCAACAACCACUGUAACUCCAGAACCUAUUACGACAACCACUGCAGCUCCUGCUACAACAACUACAACUUCAGUACCUAUGACAACCCCAACAACAGCACCUACAACAACUGAAGCUCCCACGACAACUGCAGCUCCAACAACAGGUUUAGCAGCUAAGACAACCACUGCAGCCCUAACUACAACAGCUGCUGCUCCUACGACCACGGCAACUCCACAACCUACUACGACAACCAGUGCAGCUCCUACUACAACAACUGCUGUUCUAACGACCACAGUGACUGCAGCACCUUCUACAAUAACUACAACUUCAGCUCCUACGACAACCACAACAACAGCACCUACUACAACACCUGCAGUUCCUACAACUGUAGCUCCCACGACCACUCCACCUGCUGUACUUACUACAACAAUCACAACUACAUCUCCUGAUACAACAACUGUAACUUCUAUGUCAACCACAGCAGCUGCCUCUACGACAACCACAACAGCUCUAACAACAACAAUUGCUGCUCCACCGACCACUACAACUCUAGAACCUAUUACGACAACCACUGCAGCUCCUGCUACAACAACUACAACUUCAGCUCCUACGACAACCACAACAACAGCACCUCCAACAACUGUAGCUCCCACGAUAACUGCAGCUCCUACAACAGCUUUAGCAUCUACUUCAACCACUGCAGCCCUAACUACAACAUCUGCAGCUCCUGCUACAACAACUACAACUUCAGCUCCUACGACAACCACAACAACAGCACCUCCAACAACUGUAGCUCCCACGACAACUGCAGCUCCUACAACAGCUUUAGCAUCUACGACAACCACUGCAGCCCUAACUACAACAACUGCAGCUCCUGCUACAACAACUACAACUUCAGCUCCUACGACAACCACAACAACAGCAACUACUACAACACCUGCAGUUCCUACAACUGUAGCUCCUACGACCACUUCACCUGCUGUACUUACUACAACAAUCACAACUACAGCUCCUGAUACAACAACUGUAACUUCUACGUCAACCACAGCAGCUGCCUCUACGACAACCACAGCAGCUCUAACUACAACAAUAGCUGCUCCAACGACCACAACAACUCUGGAACCUAUUACGACAACCACUGCAGCUCCUGCUACAACAACUACAACUUUAGCUCCUACGACAUCCACAACAACAGCACCUCCAACAACUGUAGCUCCCACGGUAACUGCAGCUCCUACAACAGCUUUAGCAUCUACUUCAACCACUGCAGACCUAACUACAUCAACUGCUGCUCUUACGACCACUGUAACUCCACGACCUACUACGACAUCCAGUGCUGCUCUUAAUACAACAACUGCUGUUCUAACGACCACAGUGACUGCAGCACCUUCUACAAUAACUACAACUUCAGCACCGACGACAACCACAACAACAGCACCUCCAACAACUUUAGCUCCCACGAUAACUGCAGCUCCUACAACAGCUUUAGAAUCUACGACAACCACUGCAGCCCUAAUAACAACAACUGCUGCUCCUACGACCACUACAGCUCCAGAACCUAUUACGACAUCCACUGCAGCUCCUGCUAAAACAACUACAACUUCAGCUCCUACGACAACCACAACAACAGCACCUCCAACAACUGUAGCUCCCACGACAACUGCAGCUCCUACAACAGCUUUAGCAUCUACGACAACCACUGCAGCCCUAGCAACAACAACUGCUGCUCCUACGACCACUACAGCUCCAGAACCUAUUACGACACCCACUGCAGCUCCUGCUACAACAACUACAACUUCAGCUCCUACGACAACCACAACAACAGCAACUACUACAACACCUGCAGUUCCUACAACUGUAGCUCCCACGACCACUCCACCUGCUGUACUUACUACAACAAUCACAACUACAGCUCCUGAUACAACAACUGUAACUUCUACGUCAACCACAGCAGCUGCCUCUACGACAACCACAGCAGCUCUAACUACAACAAUAGCUGCUCCAACGACCACAACAACUCUAGAAUCUAUUACGACAACGACUGCAGCUCCUUCUACAACAACUACAACUUCAGCUCCUACGACAUCCACAACAACAGCACCUCCAACAACUGUAGCUCCCACGACAGCUUUAGCAUCUACUUCAACCACUGCAGACCUAACUACAUCAACUGCUGCUCCAACGACCACUGUAACUCCACGACCUGCUACGACAACCAGUGCAGCUCUUACUACAACAACUGCUGUUCUAACGACCACAGUGACUGCAGCACCUUCUACAAUAACUACAACUUCAGCACCUAAGACAACCACAACAACAGCACCUCCAACAACUGUAGCUCCCACGAUAACUGCAGCUCCUACAACAGCUUUAGCAUCUACGACAACCACUGCAGCCCUAAUAACAACAACUGCUGCUCCUACGACCACUACAGCUCCAGAACCUAUUACGACAACCACUGCAGCUCCUGCUACAACAACUACAACUUCAGCUCCUACGACAACCACAACAACAGCACCUCCAACAACUGUAGCUCCCACGAAAACUGCAGCUCCUACAAUAGCUUUAGCAUCUACGACAAUCACUGCAGCCCUAACAACAACAACUGCUGCUCCUACGACCACUACAGCUCCAGAACCUAUUACGACACCAACUGCAACUCCUGCUACAACAACUACAACUUCAGCUCCUACGACAACCACAACAACAGCACCUCCAACAACUGUAGCUCCCACGACAACUGCAGCUCCUACAACAGCUUUAGCAUCUACGACAACCACUGCAGCCCAAACAACAACAACUGCUGCUCCUACGACCACUACAGCUCUAGAACCUAUUACGACAACCACUGCAGCUUCUGCUACAACAACUACAACAACUACAACUUCAGCUCCUACGACAACCACAACAACAGCACCUACAACAACUGUAGCUCCCACGAUAACUGCAGCUCCUACAACAGCUUUAGCAUCUACAACAACCACUGCAGCCCUAACUACAACAACUGCUGCUCCUACGACCACUGUAACUCCACAACCUACUACGACAACCAGUGCAGCUCCUACUACAACAACUGCUGUUCUAACAACAACGGUGACUGCAGCACCUUCUACAAUAACUACAACUUUAGCUCCUACGACAACCACAACAACAGCACCUCCAACAACUGUAGCUCCCACGACAACUGCAGCUCCUACANNNNNNNNNNNNNNNNNNNNNNNNNNNNNNNNNNNNNNNNNNNNNNNNCCUACGACAACCACAACAACAGCACCUACAACAACUGUAGCUCCCACGAUAACUGCAGCUCCUACAACAGCUUUAGCAUCUACAACAACCACUGCAGCCCUAACUACAACAACUGCUGCUCCUACGACCACUGUAACUCCACAACCUACUACGACAACCAGUGCAGCUCCUACUACAACAACUGCUGUUCUAACAACAACGGUGACUGCAGCACCUUCUACAAUAACUACAACUUUAGCUCCUACGACAACCACAACAACAGCACCUCCAACAACUGUAGCUCCCACGACAACUGCAGCUCCUACAAAAGCUUUAGCAUCUACGACAACCACUGCAGCCCUAACAACAACAAUUGCUGCUCCUACGACCACUACAGCUCCAGAACCUAUUACGACAACCACUGCAGCUCCUUCUACAACAACUACAACAUCUUCAGCUCUUACGACAACCACAACAACUGCACCUCCAACAACUGCUACUCCUAUGACCACUGUAACUCCACAACCUACUACGACAACCAGUGCAGCUCCUACUACAACAACUGCUGUUCUAACAUCCACAGUGACUGCAGCACCUGCUACAAUAACUGCAACUUCAGCUCCUACGACAACCACAACCACAGCACCUCCAACAACUGUAGCUCCUACGAUAACUGCAGCUCCUACAACAGCUUUAGCAUCUACGACAACCACUGCAGCCCUAACUACAACAACUGCUGCUCCUACGACCACUGUAACUCCACAACCUACUACGACAGCCAGUGCAGCUCUUACUACAACAACUACAACUUCAGCUCCUACGACAAGCACAACAACAGCACCUCCAACAACUGUAGCUCCCACGAUAACUGCAGCUCCUACAACAGCUUUAGCAUCUACGACAACCACUGCAGCCCUAGCAACAACAACUGCUGCUCCUACGACAACCACAACAGCAGCACCUACUACAACACCUGCAGUUCCUACAACUGUAGCUCCCACAACCACUCCACCUGCUGUACUUACUACAACAAUCACAACUACAGAUCCUGAUACAACAACUGUAACUUCUAUGUCAACCACAGCAGCUGCCUCUACGACAACCACUGCAGCUCUAACUACAACAACUACAACUUCAGCUCCUACGACAAGCACAACAACAGCACCUCCAACAACUGUAGCUCCCACGACAACUGCAGCUCCUACAACAGCUUUAGCAUCUACAACAACCACUGCAGCCCUAACUACAACAACUGCUGCUCCUACGACCACUGUAACUCCACAACCUAUUACGACAACCAGUGCAGCUCCUACUACAACAACUGCUGUUCUAACAACAACGGUGACUGCAGCACCUUCUACAAUAACUACAACUUUAGCUCCUACGACAACCACAACAACAGCACCUCCAACAACUGUAGCUCCCACGACAACUGCAGCUCCUACAACAGCUUUAGCAUCUUCGACAUCCACUGCAGNNNNNNNNNNUACAGAUCCUGAUACAACAACUGUAACUUCUAUGUCAACCACAGCAGCUGCCUCUACGACAACCACUGCAGCUCUAACUACAACAACUACAACUUCAGCUCCUACGACAAGCACAACAACAGCACCUCCAACAACUGUAGCUCCCACGACAACUGCAGCUCCUACAACAGCUUUAGCAUCUACAACAACCACUGCAGCCCUAACUACAACAACUGCUGCUCCUACGACCACUGUAACUCCACAACCUAUUACGACAACCAGUGCAGCUCCUACUACAACAACUGCUGUUCUAACAACAACGGUGACUGCAGCACCUUCUACAAUAACUACAACUUUAGCUCCUACGACAACCACAACAACAGCACCUCCAACAACUGUAGCUCCCACGACAACUGCAGCUCCUACAACAGCUUUAGCAUCUUCGACAUCCACUGCAGCCCUAACAACAACAAUUGCUGCUCCUACGACCACUACAGCUCCAGAACCUAUUACGACAACCACUAGAGCUCCUGCUACAACAACUACAACAACUUCAGCUCCUACGACAACCACAACAACUGCACCCUCAACAACUGCUACUCCUACGACCACUGUAACUCCACAACCUACUACGACAACCAGUGCAGCUCCUACUACAACAACUGCUGUUCUAACAUCCACAGUGACUGCAGCACCUGCUACAAUAACUACAACUUCAGCUCCUACGACACCCACAACCACAGCACCUCCAACAACUGUAGCUCCUUCGAUAACUGCAGCUCCUACAACAGCUUUAGCAUCUAGGACAACCACUGCAGCCCUAACUACAACAACUGCUGCUCCUACGACCACUGUAACUCCACAACCUACUACGACAGCCAGUGCAGCUCUUACUACAACAACUACAACUUCAGCUCCUACGACAAGCACAACAACAGCACCUCCAACAACUGUAGCUCCCAUGAUAACUGCAGCUCCUACAACAGCUUUAGCAUCUACGACAACCACUGCAGCCCUAGCAACAACAACUGCUGCUCCUACGACAACCACAACAGCAGCACCUACUACAACACCUGCAGUUCCUACAACUGUAGCUCCCACAACCACUCCACCUGCUGUACUAACUACAACAAUCACGAAUACAGAUCCUGAUACAACAACUGUAACUUCUAUGUCAACCACAGCAGCUGCCUCUACGACAACCACUGCAGCUCUAACUACAACAACUACAACUUCAGCUCCUACGACAAGCACAACAACAGCACCUCCAACAACUGUAGCUCCCACGACAACUGCAGCUCCUACAACAGCUUUAGCAUCUACAACAACCACUGCAGCCCUAACUACAACAACUGCUGCUCCUACGACCACUGUAACUCCACAACCUAUUACGACAACCAGUGCAGCUCCUACUACAACAACUGCUGUUCUAACAACAACGGUGACUGCAGCACCUUCUACAAUAACUACAACUUUAGCUCCUACGACAACCACAACAACAGCACCUCCAACAACUGUAGCUCCCACGACAACUGCAGCUCCUACAACAGCUUUAGCAUCUUCGACAUCCACUGCAG